CAGUUCAGAUUGCAGGCUGCAACCCGCCCUGCAUGAAGUCGGAAUUGCUAGUAAUCGCGGAUCAGCAUGCCGCGGUGAAUACGUUCCCGGGCCUUGUACACACCGCCCGUCACACCAUGAGAGCCGGGGGGACCCGAAGUCCGUAACUUAACCGCAAGGAGGGCGCGGCCGAAGGUGGGUCCGGUAAUUGGGGUGAAGUCGUAACAAGGUAUC
rnacentral:rRNA from 1 species